UACAGAGGUCUCGAGCGUUAGGCGGAAUCACUGGGCUUAAAGCGUGUGUAGGUGGAUGCCUAAGUACCUUGUGAAAUCCCACGGCUUAACCGUGGAACUGCUUGGUAUACUGGGUGUCUUGAGUCACUCAGGGGCGAGCGGAACAAAUGGUGGAGCGGUGAAAUGCGUAGAUAUCAUUUGGAACGCCAAUGGCGAAAACAGCUCGCUGGGGGUGCACUGACACUGAGACACGAAAGCCAGGGGAGCGAACGGG
rnacentral:rRNA from 1 species